rnacentral:lncRNA from 1 species
CUUCCCAUUGAAGUUCACCGUCAGGUUAUGCUGUCCUUCAAGAACUCUAUCAAGCAUUGAUUCAAUAUUGCUCUCCUGAGUGGGUGGUGGUGGUUCCUGGUAAGAUUAGUUUUCAUAACUCCUAUUGUUGUUGCUGCUGUAGUUCUGGCUGUAGGGUUUCUGGUACUGUGAACUCUAUUUGAAGUUACUCAUAUGUCCAUUGCCAUAGAAGUUUCUGUUUACACUCUUGUUUUCAGAACCCUGGAAUCCAGUUCCACUGAUGAAGUUCACAUCCUCCUUUACUUCUGCUCUACCCUCUGUAACUACAGCAUCUGCAUCCUCCAAUAA